rnacentral:rRNA from 1 species
AAUGAACGUUGGCGGCAUGGAUUAGGCAUGCAAGUCGAGCGAGAAGUGUAGCAAUACACGGAAAGUGGCGGAAGGGAGAGUAAUACGUGGAAAUCUGCCCUUAGACCUGGGAUAGCAGCGGGAAACUGCUGGUACUACCAGAUAAUGUCUAUGGACCAAAGGUGUGAUUCCGUCUAGGUAUGAGCCCACGUCCUAUUAGCUAGUUGGUAGGGUAAUGGCCCACCAAGGCGAUGGUGGGUAGCGGGUGUGAGAGCAUGACCCGCCUAACUGGGACUGAGACACGGCCCAGACACCUACGGGUGGCUGCAGUCGAGAAUCUUCGGCAAUGGGCGCAAGCCUGACCGAGCGAUGCCGCGUGCGGGAUGAAGGCCUUCGGGUUGUAAACCGCUGUCGGGGGGGAGCAACUUCCAUAGAGUUAUCUUUAUGGAUUGAGUGAUCCCUGGAGGAAGGACGGGCUAAGUUCGUGCCAGCCGCCGCAGUAACAC